rnacentral:siRNA from 1 species
GAAGGUUUCAUGUGAUUCUUU